CGUGAAGCUGGAUUCGCUAGUAAUCGCGCAUCAGCCAUGGCGCGGUGAAUACGUUCCCGGGCCUUGUACACACCGCCCGUCAAGCCAUGAAAGCCGGGGGUACCUGAAGUACGUAACCGCAAGGAUCGUCCUAGGGUAAAACUGGUAAUUGGGGCUAAGUCGUAACAAGGUAGC
rnacentral:rRNA from 1 species